CGAGAAUGGCGGUCGCAAUAU
rnacentral:siRNA from 1 species